rnacentral:rRNA from 1 species
GACGAACGCUGGCGGCGUGCUUAACACAUGCAAGUCGAGCGGUAAGGCCCUUUCGGGGGUACGACGAGCGGCGAACGGGUGAGUAACACGUGGGUGACCUGCCCUCAGCUCUGGGAUAAGCCCGGGAAACUGGGUCUAAUACCGGAUAUGACUUCAUGACGCAUGUUGUGGAGUGGAAAGCCUUGUGCGGCUGAGGAUGGGCCCGCGGCCUAUCAGCUUGUUGGUGGGGUGA